rnacentral:rRNA from 1 species
UACGUAGGGGGCAAGCGUUGUCCGGAUUUAUUGGGCGUAAAGAGCGUGUAGGCGGCCUGAAAGGUCAGCUGUGAAAACUCGAGGCUCAACCUCGAGACGUCGGUUGAAACCAUCUGGCUAGAGUCCGGAAGAGGAGAGUGGAAUUCCCGGUGUAGCGGUGAAAUGCGCAGAUAUCGGGAGGAACACCAGUGGCGAAGGCGACUUCCUGGCCUGUUCUUGACGCUGAGGCGCGAAAGCUAGGGGAGCAAACGGG